CCUACGGGUGGCAGCAGUGGGGAAUAUUGCACAAUGGGGGAAACCCUGAUGCAGCGACGCCGCGUGAGGGAAGAAGGAAUUCGGUAUGUAAAGCCCUAUCAGCAGGGAAGAAAAUGACGGUACCUGAGUAAGAAGCCCCGGCUAACUACGUGCCAGCAGCCGCGGUAAUACGGAGGGGGCAAGCGUUAUCCGGAAUUACUGGGGGGAAAGGGAGCGUAGACGGCAGUGCAAGUCUGGAGUGAAAGGCGGGGGCUCAACCCGCGGACGGCUCUGGAAACUGUACGGCUGGAGUGCAGGAGAGGUAAGUGGAAUUCCUAGUGUAGCGGUGAAAUGCGUAGAGAUUAGGAGGAACACCAGUGGCGAAGGCGGCCUGCUGGACUGUAACUGACGCUGAGGCGCGAAAGCGUGGGGAGCAAACAGGAUUAGAUACCCGGGUAGUC
rnacentral:rRNA from 1 species